GACGAACGCUGGCGGCGUGCUUAACACAUGCAAGUCGAACGGAAAGGCCCUGCUUUUGUGGGGUGCUCGAGUGGCGAACGGGUGAGUAACACGUGAGUAACCUGCCCUUGACUUUGGGAUAACUUCAGGAAACUGGGGCUGAUACCGGAUAGGAGCUCCUGCUGCAUGGUGGGGGUUGGAAAGUUUCGGCGGUUGGGGAUGGACUCGCGGCUUAUCAGCUUGUUGGUGGGGUAGUGGCUUACCAAGGCUUUGACGGGUAGCCGGCCUGAGAGGGUGACCGGCCACAUUGGGACUGAGAUACGGCCCAGACUCCUACGGGAGGCAGCAGAGGGGAAUAUUGCACAAUGGGCGGAAGCCUGAUGCAGCAACGCCGCGUGCGGGAUGACGGCCUUCGGGUUGUAAACCGCUUUCGCCUGUGACGAAGCGUGAGUGACGGUAAUGGGUAAAGAAGCACCGGCUAACUACGUG
rnacentral:rRNA from 1 species